CCUACGGGUGGCUGCAGUCGAGAAUCAUUCACAAUGUGGGAAACCCUGAUGGGGCGACGCCGCGUGGGGGAAGGAAGGUCUGCGGAUUGUAAACCCCUGUCAUGUGGGAGCAAAGUAAAAAGAGAGUACCACAAGAGGAAGAGACGGCUAACUCGGUGCCAGCAGCCGCGGAAAUACAGAGGUCGCAAGCGUUGUUCGGAAUGACGGGGCGUAAAGCGUGCGUAGGCUGUUUCGUAAGUCGUGUGUGAAAGGCGCGGGCUCCACCCGCGGACGGCACCUGAUACUGCUAGACUAGAGUACUGGCGUGGGAACCGGAAUUCUCGGUGUAGCCGUGAAAUGCGUAGAUAUCGAGAG
rnacentral:rRNA from 1 species